rnacentral:lncRNA from 1 species
CUCACAGCAACCAUUAAAACGACAAAGAUGCAGUGCAGAUAGGGAAACAAAACGACAAUAUUUACAUGGCAACCCUAGUUGACCGACACCUCAGCGAUGCUUGCUUCUGGUUUCUCCACUGUAAAGCCUGCAAUGAUCACAUGCAACCCACCUCAUUUUAAAAUCAAAACCAAAUAGUCAGGGUUGGAAAAUGAAAUUCUAGAAUUGUAGAUCUUUGCCAUCUGAUGAGAAAAGUAAAUAGAUCUAAAGGCUUGAAUCCACUGAAGCACAAAUUAGCGUUCGACAAAAAUACCAGACACUCGAGACUCGCAUGCAUGCAAAAAGAAGAUGAAGAUCUAUUCCCAUGCGCCACUAUAACACCUGAAAAUAUCUCGAGAUGUAUAGUACAGAGCCAAAGAUCCUUCUCAUCUCGUGUGUGCUUGCAAAGAAAAGCAAAGAGAAAAGAAAAACUAAAAAGAAAAAGAAGUCAAGAACCCAUCCACCUCUUUUUUUUUCCCAUCCAGGUUAACCAAACAUGCAUAGCUCUGAAAGCUGAUAUGAAACUAUGGAGGAUCAAUUUAUAUACCAGUCAUAGACAGUGGGGGAGUUAGGCUGUGGCUUGUCGAAGAGCUGAGCACCGAGACCCUUAGUGGCAAGGUUGCUACCAGGGUGGAAAACGCUCCUCCAUACGUUGUCCUUGCGAACCGAAGCCGGAGUUGUGGGCGUCACCGGUGUGGUAGGUGUCCCAGGACUUGCUGGCAUGGAUAUGGACCUCUGGAACUUGCUCGUCUCUCCUCCCCCACCUACAGAAAUCAAAGGAAAAUAUCAUCCAUGAAUACAAGAUAAACUAUUUACUUCUAAUUGAUGGUUAAAGACUUGGGUUUUGUCAGCUCUAGUGAUACCUAUGGUCAGGGGCUUGGUGCUGAUCUUUCUGAGCUUGCCAAGGCCACGAUCGGGCUGAGGCCCGGCAACGACGUCAUCCCACAUCUUGUCGAGCAACAUCUUUCUUCCUCCUUUUUUAGCUUGCUGAGGCCUGAGUGAGGGUUUCAGUAAGGUGCCUGGACCAGAUUAUAUAGAGAGUAUGAGAGCGGGUCUCAAAUAUCUAUUAUUGAUGGGAAGUUUCCAGACAGGAUUUUCCUACUUCCAGGCACGAUUUUCUCGGGUAUAAUAACAAAAUAAAGGAUUGAUGGAAUAAUGGAAAUUAUUCACUUAUACAUCCUCAAAUAUUAUCGUUCUAUAAUACAUGCGAUUUAAGACUUAUUCAUUUAAAUUAAUAAAAGUAAUUAAUAAUUUUAAUUUAAAAAAUUAUAAUAAUUUAUUUAAAGAAUUAAUAUUAAUUUAAAAUUUUUAAAAUGAUAGAUAAUUUGACAGAGGGAAUAAUAAUAGUCCAUGUAAAAUUACUAGGAAUGAGUCGGGGNNNNAGUGGAAAUAAGAAAAGUGGCAAGUGGACAUAGAAUAAAAGAUAUGGAUAAGGAUGAGGAAGAGUUGAAGACCGGGUAAAAUAAUAGUAUCUGGUUAUGAACUGAUGGGUGGUUUGCUGGACAAGUGUAAUUGUUUGUCCUAUUCCAUGGACAGAUGUGGGUUCCAACUUCCAUCAGUGUGGAAAAUUAUUAUGAUUUAUGGGAUUUGAUGGCGUAACGUGGGGCCUACUGAUUUGUUAAUAAUGGGAUUUUGUUUCUGUGGGUGCUGGGCUUGACUACUGUACAGUGCCCGUAUGUCCGGACGAUGAGAUUUUGUUUUUUUGGAAUGGCGGACGGUGAGAUUAUCAGCACUUCAACAGACAUGGGUCCCAAUUUUAACAAAAUUUCUUUUUCUUGGGCUGAUAUCUUUUAUUGGUUUCCAAGGAAUGUAUGUUCCAGCAAGUCGAUCGCUCCUAGAAUAAAAUGUAAUGUGAUAAUCUUUGAAUGGGGAUCACAUUUUGAGCAUGUUCUUUCUUUUCUCCACAAAUUACAAGCAGAGAAGGAAAAAUCGUCCGUGAUUUGAUAAAUGAUAUGUAUUUACAUAUGAAAACUAACCUAAAUUGUCAUGGGCAGAUUUCAACUAGUAAAGAUAAGCCUAAUCAGGCCCAGCUUAGCGAUCUUGCUCUUGGCCCAUGAGAAACGGUUGGGCGCCAUUAACAGACAUAAUUGUGACUCAAGUCCUUUUAUUUUUAUUUGAACUACAGAUUCUCUUCGUACUAAGUUGUCUCCUGGCGAGUAUCUUUCGGCCAUUAACAUUAAUUAGCUAUUUAAGUUAAUUAAAAAAAAAAAAAAAAGAAGAAGGAGAAGAAGAAGAAGAAGAGGCUCUAGCUACUCGGAAGCACCGUCAACAAUUUUCAUUCAUCUUUCUUACUAACAAAAAUGGUCAACUUUUUUCCAACUUUGGUAUCGGGCUGAACAGUUCGCUUAAUUACUAUCCAAUAGAACCAAUCCAAUUAGUAAGAAUGGAAGCUUUAUCUCCUUCAAUCGAUCAGGAUUCGACUUUAUUAGGAGAUGGAAGCUUUUUCUCCUUCAAUCAAUCAGGAUCCGACUUUAUUAGGAGCAAUUCAAAAUUAUUUAUCUUGAAUGCACAAUGUGAAUAUAAAGGAUCCCCUCACAUCCUACUAAUAAUUAAUAUCUGAAAGAAGGGUGAAAUAUAUAGAUACCUUUCAAGAAGCUUUGAUUUUGUCCGACUCUAGGAAACCAAGGAUCCUGCCAAAAAAGAACAAGAAAAUAAAUCCAGAACCAGAAGUUUUUCACGCUUUCCCUUUAAUCGAACAUUAAAUAGAAAAGCACGGAAGCGAUAUGAACAUCAUGGAAAAACAAACGUUAGGGGACAGUCGCUACUCCACAUCCAGCUAUACCUUUGUAUAAAGCUGCAGGUUCUAGAAAUCAAGUUCUCAACUAAAUGGCAACCCACCUCCAAUUGCAAAACAAGAAUUCCAUGGAUGUUGCUGCAGAUAGCUAUUCAUGCGAAUCACCCUUCUUUACAGGCUUAUCUAUCAAGAUCUGUGCCCAGCUGAUAUUUCAAUCUCCAGUGAACAGCUGCAACUACAAACGUCUGUGUCAAUCUAGGCAACUGAAACAUAAGCCUGGCUCCAAAUGUGCAACUCAUAGCAAUAACAAGAGAUUGAUCUAGGGCAAACAUAAUAACACAAAGGUCUCUGACAACCCUAAUCAUAAAGACAGAAACCAAGAGGAGCAUACAAAUAUGUGAUUGGACCAGAAAAUAGUUCAGUCGUUUGUCUCCCCAUGCAGGGAAUGUCAUGCUCAAGCCAAGUAUUAAAGCACAUAAUGUUCCAGAAGAAACUUUCAAGUCACAUUAAACAAAAAUUCUUCUUUCCAAUUUUUCUAAAUUGACUAAUUGAGUUUCCAAUUGUUCACUUGUGGAAGGCUUCAAUUCUGCUCAAGCUAUUAGUUACAGUAAGCAUAAUUCAAUAAACCUCCAUAAUUGUUUUUCUUUGUCACAUGGGCUGAAGCACAAUCAGAGCUUACUGAUGACACCCUCUAAAGAUUAAAUUAGUAAUAACCUACAUUUGUUACAACAAUAUAAUCAGAAAAACACUCGACUGCUAAAAAAUUCCACAUCUUGAUUUCCCUCAUUUUGCACCAGUUCAGUUUUCCAAUAUGUGCACCUGAAUGUCAAAUAUGCAUAAUUAGGCACAGCCUAAGACUCUAAAUCUUUAACAAAAGCACUUCACCAUUAGAAAGGUCCAAGGAAGCAUCAUUAGACCUAUGUUACUUGCACUCGGAUUCAGGAGUCAGAAAUGGGUGCAUAUCCCUGUGUCUGACUUGUCAACUUUCUGAAUAAAAAAUACGGACAUAUGGAUCUAAGUUUAGACAUGGAUGCUUGCAUACGUAAUGUGAGAUAAAAUAAACUAGAACAAAGAAAAAUAAAAUUAUCUAGGAAUAGUUAAUAGUCUAAAUAAAUUAUCAAAUACAACCAAAUACAUCAUUCGAAAUUCAACCAAAUAACUUUUUUUAUCUAAAUACAUGCUCUUCAUCCUGAGAGAAAAGAAUGCUCUAAACUAUUUAUGAAUAUGUCACUCAAAAAAGUAUCGGAUACAUUCCAUGUCUUAUCCUAUAAAGUGUUAUGUCGACAAGGGUACGCUAUGGUAAAAUAAAGAGUCCGAGUAUUAGAGCAUUAGACACUGCUACAAAUCAGAAUAAACAAAAAUUAAAUUCAUUCUUUUGACUUAAAUUCUGUUCUUGAUUUACACUUGUUCCAGUGAUGUAAACCUCUUCUUUCCUACUUGUAGUUUUAUCAUCUUGCAUCUCUUCUUUUUCUUUUUUUUUCCUUUGGGACAAACAAAUAUGGAUGCAACCUAGUGCACACAGGUUCUGUAUCUUAUAACCUUGUAGUCUGGUUGUUUAGUGAUAGAUUUCAGAUAAAGCAUGUGGAGAAGAAAACCUGAACCAAUCACAGGUUGGAGCUGAGAACAGAAGAGAAAUAAGGCUCUAAAGACCAUCUAUAUUCCUCAAUGAAAUCAAGUUUACAAAAUAUUUGGUAUAUAAUUAUGAAUAUCCCCAUUCUUUCAAUUUGUGUCCCCACCAUACCUUAUGUUUCUUCUCUAGGCACUAGGCAGUGAGUUUCUUCCAAACAGCUUCCCACCAAAUGAACAUGGAGUAUAUUCUCUGCCUUGCUCCAUCCAUAAGAAUUACGAUUUCUCCACUGAAACAGUCACUUCCUGCUUCACCAUAGAGCCCGGUCCAAUACUUCAUGGUUGAGAUUCUGGUAUUCUACUAGGAUUAAAUUAUGAACUACAAUAGAGCAAGGCACAUCAAUUAGCACUUCACAGUUGAAAGAUGCAGUGGUAGCUCUCAGAACUAUCCAAAGGAUAUCAUGCAAAAUUUGCCUAGUACAUGCUAUCAACAAUAAUUUCAUACAUAAAGGGAUGUCAUAAGCAAAAUAAGUUAAGCACCUCACUCCACAAAAAAUCUCCAUAUAUUUGACAGCAUAGUAGAAAAACAACAUGCAAUAACACAGGCAUCUGAAAACCACAACAAAAUAUGAUAAACCAGCAUUUACACAAAAAAGACAAAAAAAAGAUAAAAACACUGAGUGUCAAAUAUAAUGGCAGAAGUGCAAAACAAUUAAGCACAAAAGUAAAAACUGCCAAAUGACAAGAUCACUCUGCUGCCUUCCAUUAACUAGUUCACAAAUAUUUGCAACUCGUUCACCGUUCUUGAAAAAGUGUUCCAAAUUGAUAAAUCAUAUCCAAUUAUAACCUCAAAUAGGGGUGAAAACACAUUGGUUUUACCCAAUAAACCGAACCAAUCUAAUUCAGUUUUUCUGUUCGAUUUUUCAGAUAAUUUAACUCAGUUUUGAUUAAUAAUUAAAGGGAAUUUCAGUUUUUUGUUUAUUAAGAUUUGAAAACUGCAAAAACUGAACUAACCGAGUCUAUAUGUGCACCCAAAAGCUGUGUCAUUUUAUCCAUGUCUAUAAAAACAUGCUUUCAUUCAUUUGUAACUUGUCUUCCAUUUCUUUCACAGAGCUAAGAGUUGUUUCUCUUACCUCUUCUUCAACCUCUCCUCUAUCCCACAUCCACCUCAUCCAUGUCCAUCCUCCUCCAUAAACAAAGCCAAUGACCCAUGGACCAUCACAUCCACCCUCCAGGCAUAAUUGAUUCCUCCACAAAGUUGGUGUAGCACCAUAGGAGCAUGGUCUUAAAAAAAGAAUGUUACAUUGCAUAGCAACUGUUAUUUAUAGGUUUCUGGCCCUCACAUUACUGUUACUGUUACUCCCAUUAUUUAAGGGAAAAGAAAAUUUUGUUCCUAUAAUGGUCGUUAUAACAAUAACAGCCAUUAUUUACCAUUAAGUAACGGUAAGGGACCAUUAUCUAACCUUUUCUCAAAACUCGAUGGAAGCAACAACUCUCAUUUUUUUUAAAGUUUGGGAAGUUUUAAGCUGUUGUGUCUCAUUUCCUCUCUCAAAUUUCCAUAAAAGUUAACUAUCUAUCACCAAAACUUCACUUCUUCUCUCUUGAGCUAAGAUUCGCAACCGUCUUUCUAAUUAUACACAUCUAAGUUAUUUAUCUUUGUUUUGGUGUGUUUUACUUAUUUAUUGAGGAAAAUUAUGUUUGAUGCCAAGUUUUUAUUAUUAAAUUUAUAAUAUUGAAGAAAUAACCUUGCCAUUUAAAGUGUUUUGAGCACUUCUUGCUGCCUAAAUUAUUAUUUUAGCUUUAAGUUGAUUAUUGCUAAUGAUGUCUAACGAUGAUAGAUAUAAAAGAUAUUAAAUCUGUGUAUUUAAUUGCAUUCAUAUUAUUAAACAUUUCUUCAUUUCAUGAACUUUGCAGUUCGUUUGAAAAAUUUGCAUAGCAAUAGACCGUAAUAUUACAGCCUUUAUUGUUGCAGCCGUCCUUUGUCAUGCAACUGGAUCUGGAUCUCUAUGUUGUUGCAUGUAGCUCAAUUGCCUCACCAAGUCGCAUCAUCAAUGUUUGAUGAGAUUUCGAAGGUCUAAAUUUCUCAAAAUGUUGACAUUUCUAAGAUAUUGUAUCAAUCUCGUUUAUGUUGUUUUGAUUGAGAAUUGCUAGAUUUGGUUAAUUAUGUUGAUUCUACUUUCUGUUUGGGUAAAAUUUGAGUAAUUUUGUCAACUGUUGUUGUUGAUACGAAUAUAACCAUGUCAAGGUAUUUAAUCUAUUUUGUUGGCGAAAGCUUCCUCACCUCUAUAAUUUAUGUAUUUCAAUUUACAUUGUUGGUAACUUGGUUUGAACACAAGUUGAGAGAAGCUUUCUUUGUAUUGUCAGGUAGGAGAUGGAGAGUGCUGAAAUCUUGAAUAGAUUGAUUCCAAGCCAAAUUGAACCGACUUUUUAUCGGUUCUUUGGUUUACUUAUUACUUCAAUAUGGUUCUGUCUUUGAAAAACUUGCACUUUGGUUUUCAUUGUUUUUGUUCGAAACCGAACCAACCUAUUACAUACCUCUAACCUUAAUAUUUUCAAUCCCAUGUGUAUCUAAAAGAACAUAGACACAUUCCAAUGGACCAAAGAGGCCUAAGUGAAAUAUACUAAAACACAAGACGAAUUUGAAAAAAAAAAAAAGUUGAGUUUUAAUUAUGUCAAAUAAUCCUCAUACAUACUGUUGAUUUUCUUAAUUACUAGAAUGUAUAAGAAACUGUACAAAAGCAACAGAAAGGACUUGGCUUGGCAUGUCAAGAUUUCCCAUACUUUGUACAAUAUCCCUGCAAAUGAAAGAAGCAACCAUCAAAUGCCAAGCACGAAGAAGUUUCAAAUCUAAAAAUUUCUCCUUUCCCCAAAUGCAUAUUGUAGAUAAAACUAAGGUGCUCACCUCAAUAAGCUUUGCAAUUUUAGGUUGGCAAGAAGAAAGAUAUUGCUUAA